GGAGGCUGAUUUCUCAUUGUAAGGAGGAGUAGCUCUCCGCAGAGCCUCGGGAGAUAGGCUCAGGUCAGGAGGCUAAUUGCUGGUGAAAUAGCAUCGAAGGGGAAGGGAGAAAGAUGAAGAAAGAAAGCUCUGUCUCUGAAGCCUGCCUGCCUUUGAGGUUCUUCACCCAUAGGAGGUAGAGUCAAUGGGAGUGGAACAAGUGAAUGAAUGAAGGGAUGAACGAGGGCAAGAAAUUCAAAAGAAGUGCAACAUCCUGGUCUAACCUACAGUCAGCAAACAAGAAGAACAACUAACAGAGUAAUUCAGAGACUCCAUCUGGCUUCUUGCCCUGGAUGCUGACCAGUUUGCUUCUGUGACAUUAACCUGGUGCCUGAGAGUCUGAGUGUCAAUUUUGUACAGCUAUACAUAAAAGAUUUGAAAAUGAAUAUCACUCAGAGGACAAUGAAGAGCCACUUAAUGGAGGGAGGAUCAUCUCCAGACCUGUAAUACUGAGCAAACAGUUAAAAUGGAAAUUAAAAUCAGGAAAGCAUACUUUACUAGACAUGAAAACUGAAAAUCAAGGAUUGGAAGUGACCAAUUGAAAGAGAAACCGGCA
rnacentral:lncRNA from 1 species